rnacentral:sRNA from 2 species
CUGCAGGACGUUUAGGGUUCCGCCGCGCAUCCGCGGGUCUGGUCCGAGAAACGUCACCUGACCGGCAAAUUCCGGGCGGGCACACGGCGGGCCAAAAUCCCGGGAGGC